rnacentral:sRNA from 1 species
AUAUAUUUAUUAAACAAACAUUAUAAAUCAUAUAUAUGAAAGUUGGUCAACUCUCUUCAAAUGAAUGACACAUCACCAAACAAGAAAAUGACAUGUGUCAUUCGAUAUUUUUUAAAGUAAAAAUUAAU